GAAUCCCGUCUUUGACACGGACUACCAAUGCUUUGUGAUGCGCUCUCAAAGAGUCGAGUUGUUUGGGAAUGCAGCUCAAAAUGGGUGGUAAAUUCCAUCUAAAGCUAAAUAUAGGCGAGAGACCGAUAGCGAACAAGUACCGUGAGGGAAAGAUGAAAAGCACUUUGGAAAGAGAGUUAAACAGUACGUGAAAUUGCUGAAAGGGAAACGCUUGAAGUCAGUCACGUCUGCCAGGACUCAGCCUUGCUUCUGCUUGGUGUACUUUCUGGUUUGAUGGGCCAACAUCAAUUUUGACCGUUGGAGAAAGGCUUUGGGAAUGUGGCACCUUUGGGUGUGUUAUAGCCCUUUGUUGUAUGCAACGGUUGGGAUUGAGGACUGCAGCACGCCUUCAUGGCCGGGGUUCGCCCACGUACGUGCUUAGGAUGUUGGCAUAAUGGCUUUAAGCGACCCGUCUUGAAACACGGACCAAGGAGUCUAACAUGCCUGCGAGUGUUUGGGUGGAAAACCCAUGCGCGUAAUGAAAGUGACAGCUGAGAUCCUCUCAUCAGGAGCAUCAGCGCCUGGACUUGAUCUACGGAGACGGUUCUACGGUAGAGCAUGUAUGUUGGGACCCGAAAGAUGGUGAACUAUGCCUGAAUAGGGUGAAGCCAGAGGAAACUCUGGUGGAGGCUCGUAGCGAUUCUGACGUGCAAAUCGAUCGUCAAAUUUGGGUAUAGGGGCGAAAGACUAAUCGAACCAUCUAGUAGCUGGUUCCUGCC
rnacentral:rRNA from 1 species